rnacentral:tRNA from 1 species
GCGGCUGUGGCGUAAUUGGUAGCCGCGCCAGACUUAGGAUCUGGUGUCGCAAGACGUGGGGGUUCGAGUCCCUUCAGCCGCAC